GGGAAACCCAGGCUAAUACCGCAUACGUCCUACGGGAGAAAGGGGGCUUCGGCUCCCGCUAUUGGAUGAGCCUAUGUCGGAUUAGCUAGUUGGUGAGGUAAUGGCUCACCAAGGCAACGAUCCGUAGCUGKUCUGAGAGGAUGAUCAGCCACAUCGGGACUGAGACACGGCCCGAACUCCUACGGGAGGCAGCAGUGGGGAAUAUUGGACAAUGGGGGCAACCCUGAUCCAGCCAUGCCGCGUGUGUGAAGAAGGCCCUCGGGUUGUAAAGCACUUUCAGCGAGGAAGAACGCCUAUCGGUUAAUACCCGGUAGGAAAGACAUCACUCGCAGAAGAAGCACCGGCUAACUCCGUGCCAGCAGCCGCGGUAAUACGGAGGGUGCAAGCGUUAAUCGGAAUUACUGGGCGUAAAGCGCGCGUAGGUGGCUUGAUAAGCCGGUUGUGAAAGCCCCGGGCUCAACCUGGGAACGGCAUCCGGAACUGUCAGGCUAGAGUGCAGGAGAGGAAGGUAGAAUUCCCGGUGUAGCGGUGAAAUGCGUAGAGAUCGGGAGGAAUACCAGUGGCGAAGGCGGCCUUCUGGACUGACACUGACACUGAGGUGCGAAAGCGUGGGUAGCAAACAGGAUUAGAUACCCUGGUAGUCCGCGCCGUAAACGAUGUCGACCAGCCGUUGGGUGCCUAGAGCACUUUGUGGCGAAGUUAACGCGAUAAGUCGACCGCCUGGGGAGUACGGCCGCAAGGUUAAAACUCAAAUGAAUUGACGGGGGCCCGCACAAGCGGUGGAGCAUGUGGUUUAAUUCGAUGCAACGCGAAGAACCUUACCUACCCUUGACAUCUACAGAAGCCGGAAGAGAUUCUGGUGUGCCUUCGGGAACUGUAAGACAGGUGCUGCAUGGCUGUCGUCAGCUCGUGUUGUGAAAUGUUGGGUUAAGUCCCGUAACGAGCGCAACCCUUGUCCUUAUUUGCCAGCACGUAAUGGUGGGAACUCUAAGGAGACUGCCGGUGACAAACCGGAGGAAGGUGGGGACGACGUCAAGUCAUCAUGGCCCUUACGGGUAGGGCUACACACGUGCUACAAUGGCCGGUACAAAGGGCUGCGAGCUCGCGAGAGUCAGCGAAUCCCUUAAAGCCGGUCUCAGUCCGGAUCGGAGUCUGCAACUCGACUCCGUGAAGUCGGAAUCGCUAGUAAUCGUGAAUCAGAAUGUCACGGUGAAUACGUUCCCGGGCCUUGUACACACCGCCC
rnacentral:rRNA from 1 species